UUCCUACGGGAGGCAGCAGUGAGGAAUAUUGGUCAAUGGACGGAAGUCUGAACCAGCCAUGCCGCGUGCAGGAAGACGGCUCUAUGAGUUGUAAACUGCUUUUGUACAAGGGUAAACCUGAAUACGUGUAUUCAGCUGAAAGUACUGUACGAAUAAGGAUCGGCUAACUCCGUGCCAGCAGCCGCGGUAAUACGGAGGAUCCGAGCGUUAUCCGGAUUUAUUGGGUUUAAAGGGUGCGUAGGCGGUUUGAUAAGUUAGAGGUGAAAUGUCGGGGCUCAACCCCGAAACUGCCUCUAAUACUGUUG
rnacentral:rRNA from 1 species